rnacentral:rRNA from 1 species
UACAGAGGUGGCAAGCGUUGUUCGGAAUUACUGGGCGUAAAGGGCGCGUAGGCGGUUCGUUAAGUCCUGUGUGAAAUCCCCCGGCUCAACUGGGGAACUGCACAGGAAACUAGCGGGCUUGAGUUCGGGAGAGGGAAGCGGAAUUCCGGGUGUAGCGGUGAAAUGCGUAGAUAUCCGGAGGAACACCGGUGGCGAAGGCGGCUCACUGGACCAUAACUGACGCUGAGGCGCGAAAGCUAGGGGAGCAAACAGG